GUCCUCAUUUCAGGGCGACUUUGGGAACACAAUAGUCGACUCGCCGACGUUCCCUUAGACGCGUUGCCAUACGUCGUCACCCAUAGAAACGGCUUUCCGCGGGGCAGACUCCAAGUCUCGCCUGUGUGAGCGGGCAGGGGUAGCAGGAAAGGCUGUUUUUCAUUUCCAAGAGAAAACCGUCACCCCGCCCACCUCGAACCUCCUCCCAACAUCUCAGGAUAGAAACGCCGCGCUCAGGUGAAUGAGAAAUGUUCUGAUACAGGAAAGAGGAGUUCGUGUUUCUUUCAGAAGGUGACCGUUUUCCUCCUUCUGAGGUCACGAGCUGUCCGUCCGAUGCCCAGAAUUCCGAGGCCUGAUGUGGCGUGUUUCCGGUAGCUGGGCUCCUCGGAGAGCUGUGGGAAGAGGCGCGGGCGACCGGGGGCGUCAGCGAGCCCUGUCUUCGCCUGCCUUCGCCGGCGUGGACUCUUCCCAGUGCCCGUCUUCCCCCGCGAAGUAAUAGUGUCCUGUAUUUCCUGACUGUAAGAAGAAUAGUGCUUUUAAAAAAUGCCUGCUCCCUGUAAUAGCAGCAGUAGUUCGAGAGUACAUACAUGUUUAUAAAAGAAACUUAAACUCUCAUUCUUGCCACAGUGGAUAAUACUAUUAACAUAUUGCUACAUAAAUUUAGAAUUUUCAUACAUACACGUAAAGGUGUUUGGUUUUUUAAAACAGAAAAACGUAAGCGCGUUAUCUCCCAGUAAUGUCUUUGCAGGUAAAUUAAAAUAAUUACAUAUAUAUUUAUAUUUAUAUAUAUAUAUUUUUUCUAAGAGAUGGGGUUGUUGCCCAGGCUGGUCUUGACCUCCCGGGCUCAAGUGAUACUCCCACCUCAGGCUCCCAAAGUGCUGGGACUGUGGGCAUGAACCACCGGGUCCAGCCUACAGAAUCAUUUUUAAUGGCUGUAUGGAUAUCAUAAUUUGUUCAACCAGUCCCUAAGUUGUUGGACUUUUCAGGUAUUGACAGCUUUUCAGGUCUACAAUCCUAGAUGAAUAUUCUUAUAUGUAAAUCUGUACAUGUCCCUGAUUAUUUUUUUACAAUAAAGUCAUAGAAAUAAAAUUACUGGAUCAAGGAAAA
rnacentral:lncRNA from 10 species